CCUACGGGAGGCAGCAGUAGGGAAUAUUGCUCAAUGGGGGAAACCCUGAUGCAGCAACGCCGCGUGGAGGAUGAAGGUUUUCGGAUUGUAAACCCCUUUUGUUAGAGAAGAUAAUGACGGUAUCUAACGAAUAAGCACCGGCUAACUCCGUGCCAGCAGCCGCGGUAAUACGGAGGGUGCAAGCGUUACUCGGAAUCACUGGGCGUAAAGGGCGCGUAGGCGGGAUAGCAAGUCAGAUGUGAAAUCCUAUGGCUAAACCAUAGAACUGCAUUUGAAACUGGGAUUCUAGAGUAUGGGAGGGGUAGGUGGAAUUCUUGGUGGAGGGGUAAAAUCCGUAGAGAUCAAGAGGAAUACUGAUUGCGAAGGCGACCUGCUAGAACAUAACUGACGCGGAUGCGCGAAGGCGUGGGGAGCAAACAGGAUUAGAUACCCUUGUACUC
rnacentral:rRNA from 1 species